rnacentral:rRNA from 1 species
GAUGAACGCUGGCGGCGUGCCUAAUACAUGCAAGUCGAGCGAACAGACGAGGAGCUUGCUCCUCUGACGUUAGCGGCGGACGGGUGAGUAACACGUGGAUAACCUACCUAUAAGACUGGGAUAACUUCGGGAAACCGGCGCUAAUACCGGAUAAUAUAUUGAACCGCAUGGUUCAAUAGUGAAAGACGGUUUUGCUGUCACUUAUAGAUGGAUCCGCGCCGCAUUAGAUAGUUGGUAAGGUAACGGCUUACCAAGGGAACGAGGCGUAGCCGACCUGAGAGGGGGAUCGGCCACACGGGAGCUGAGCCACGGUCCAGACGCCUACGGGAGGCAGCAGUAGGGAAUCUGCCGCAAUGGGCGAAAGCCUGACGGAGCAACGCCGCGUGAGUGAUGAAGGUCUUCGGAUCGUAAAACUCUGUUAUUAGGGAAGAACAAAUGUGUAAGUAACUAUGCACGUCUUGACGGUACCUAAUCAGAAAGCAACGGCUAACUACGUG